rnacentral:rRNA from 1 species
AGAGUGUAAACGCUGCAGACUUGGUGUUGGAGGCCCUUUGGGGGCAUUCAGUGCCGGAGAGAAGUUGUUAAGUCUGCUACUUGGGGAGUACGUCCGCAAGGAUGAAACUUAAAGGAAUUGGCGGGGGAGCACCGCAACGGGAGGAGCGUGCGGUUUAAUUGGAUUCAACACCGUAAAACUCACCAGGGAAGACUGUUACAUGAAGGCCGAGAUGAAGACUCUGCUAGAUUUUCAGAGAGGAGGUGCAUGGCGUCAGUGACU